GAUGAACGCUGGCGGCGUGCCUAAUACAUGCAAGUCGAGCGAACAGACGAGGAGCUUGCUCCUCUGACGUUAGCGGCGGACGGGUGAGUAACACGUGGAUAACCUACCUAUAAGACUGGGAUAACUUCGGGAAACCGGAGCUAAUACCGGAUAAUAUAUUGAACCGCAUGGUUCAAUAGUGAAAGACGGUUUUGCUGUCACUUAUAGAUGGAUCCGCGCCCCAUUAGCUAGUUGGUAAGGUAACGGCUUACGAAGGCAACGAUAGUUAGCCGACUUGAGAGGGUAAUCUGACACACUGGAACCCAUAUACGGUAAUCACUCCUCCGGGAGCCAUCCAAAGAUAACUUCGCGCAAUAAGAGAAAGUUUGACGGAACAACGCCGCAUCAGUAAUGAUGGUAUUCUUAUCGUAAAACUCUGUGAUCAGGCAAAAACAAAUAUGUAAGUAACUUAGCACUUCUUGACGGUACCUAACCAGAAUGCCACGGCUAACUACGUG
rnacentral:rRNA from 1 species